UAAGCAGCUCUAUCUUAUCGACUUAUGCUUUUAUAAGUAGGAAAGUCCGGACACCAUAGAGCAAACAUAGCGGAUAACAUCCGUCCAGUGUAAACUGAGGACAAGUGCAACAGAAAGAAUGUACAGGUAAUGCUGUAGUGAAACCAGGUAAACUCUAUGUGGUGCAAUGUCACGUAUAUUAGAGAUUGAGUGCCGCUCGCACGAUUCUAAGGGGUAGACAGAUUGACUUUAAUAGCAAUAUUAAGGCUAGAUAAAUGAUAAGAACCUUUUUUAAAGGACACAGGAUCCGGCUUAUUGAGCUGCUUUUUAU
rnacentral:RNase_P_RNA from 1 species